UACGUAGGGUGCGAGCGUUGUCCGGAAUUAUUGGGCGUAAAGAGCUUGUAGGCGGUUUGUCGCGUCUGCCGUGAAAGCCCAGGGCUUAACCCUGGGUCUGCGGUGGGUACGGGGCAGACUAGAGUGUGGUAGGGGAGACUGGAAUUCCUGGUGUAGCGGUGAAAUGCGCAGAUAUCAGGAGGAACACCGAUGGCGAAGGCAGGUCUCUGGGCAUUAACUGACGCUGAGGAGCGAAAGCAUGGGGAGCGAACAGG
rnacentral:rRNA from 1 species